rnacentral:rRNA from 1 species
UACGUAGGUGGCUAGCGUUGUCCGGAUUUACUGGGCGUAAAGAGCGCGCAGGCGGUCGUUCAAGUCGAGUGUGAAAGCCCCCGGCUCAACUGGGGAGGGUCACUCGAUACUGAUCGACUCGAAGGCAGGAGAGGGAAGCGGAGUUCCCGGUGUAGUGGUGAAAUGCGUAGAUAUCGGGAGGAACACCAGUGGCGAAGGCGGCAUCCUGGCCCUAUCCUGACGCUGAGGCGCGAGAGCGUGGGGAGCAAACCGG